CGUACAGAACAACAUCCCCAUCAGAGGACCCUAGAAGAAAAGACAGGACAACAGGCUACACAGGGAGAUUUAUUUAACAAGCCUUGUGUGACACCUGGCAGAAGGGGAGGCUGAAAGGACCAAUGAGGACUGCAAUGGCUGACACCUGCUGCUUCCUGUGGGUACUGAGCUGAGUGCAGCACCAACCCUCCACACUUGGAGGAAUAGAUAAGGAGGUGUGGCACCAGAACACUCCUGGGAUGUGGCCACGGGGGACUGUCCUCAAUCCAGGGAAACAGCAGCAGAAACACAAAUGCAGCGCCAGUGACAUCACUGGAGGCUUUAAGGCCCAUGCAACCUGAGGAACAGCUCAUGGGAGACAUGCAAGGUAGGGCGGUGCAGGCGAGAAGAGAAAGCUGACCUGGGCGGCUAUCCUGCCAGCAUGUGCUGUGUGCAUUUCUUCCCUGUAGGAAAGGGCACUGCUUGCCCUACCCCUGAAGACCUGAUUGUGAACUGCUGGCAAAUUUGGUGGACUCACAGGCUGCCUCUUCCCUGAUUGGUCCUAGUUUUCAUCUUAUUUGCAUACCCACAUUCAGUCACCCAGGGUCCACCUAGCACCCCAUGCAUUCAAACACUCCAAGACUACAGAACAGGACCAACAACAGGAGCUACUGGAGGAGGGAGAGAAGGAAGCCAUCCCAAGACUACAAGGGAUUCACUCUCAGAGACCUCCUGAGCCUGAGGUGUUCCUGCCUUGGCCCCCAAGAUUCACACUCAGCUGAGCUGUGGAAGGGAAUUUGUCCUUGAGGGUGCUUCCUGCUUCUAAGACUCUCUUCUUCUGAGACUGAAAGCUCAUCCAGACCUGCUGCUUCUGGCUUCAAUGGAGCCUUCUGAGAACAGCAACAUUGAGAG